rnacentral:rRNA from 1 species
CAAUAGCGUAUAUUAAUGUUGUUGCAGUUAAAAAGCUCGUAGUUGGAUUUCUGACAGGAGCGACCGGUCCGAGCCUUCGGGUUCGUGUACUUUGUGUUGUCUCUAGUCAUCCUUAUGGAGAGCGUGUCUUUCAUUAAUUUGUUGGGCAUGGGAUCCAUAUCGUUUACUGUGAAAAAAUUAGAGUGUUCAAAGCAGGCAAUCGCUGUGAAUAUAUUAGCAUGGAAUAAUAGGAUAGGACUUUGGUACUAUUUUGUUGGUUUGCAUACCAAGGUAAUGAUUAAGAGGGACAGUUGGGGGUAUUCGUAUUUAAUUGUCAGAGGUGAAAUUCUUGGAUUUAUGAAAGACGAACUACUGCGAAAGCAUUUACCAAGGGUGUUUUCAUUAA